CCUACGGGGUGCAGCAGUAGGGAAUAUUGCUCAAUGGGGGAAACCCUGAAGCAGCAACGCCGCGUGGAGGAUGAAGGUUUUCGGAUUGUAAACUCCUUUUGUUAGAGAAGAGAAGGACGGUAGCUAACGAAUAAGCACCGGCUAACUCCGUGCCAGCAGCCGCGGUAAUACGGAGGGUGCAAGCGUUACUCGGAAUCACUGGGCGUAAAGAGCGCGUAGGCGGGAUAGCAAGUCAGAUGUGAAAUCCUAUGGCUUAACCAUAGAACUGCAUUUUAAACUGUUAUUCUUGAGUAUGGGAGAGGUAGUUGGACUUCUUGGUGUAGGGGUCACAUCCGUAGAGCUCAAGAGGAAUCCUCAUUGCGAAGGCGACCUGCUAGACCAUAACUGCCGCUGAUGCUCGAAAGCGUGGGGAGCAAACAGGAUUAGAUACCCCUGUAGUC
rnacentral:rRNA from 1 species